ACCAGCCCUCGCUGACUCCACCCUACUUCGAAGCGCCACCUCCUGGACCCUCCGCGGCUGCAGGACUACGAACCCUCUAAAGGAAUUCAUCAGGCUCCAUGAGGGCGAAGGAGCCAAGAACUGCACUCAAGGAUCCUUGGGCUGAAAAUCCAGCAGGGUCACAGAUGCUUCUGGGCUUCCAACAAAGAAAUGGUUCUCAAGGAAGGCCAAGACCUUGGCAGGAUACACUGGGCUCUCGUCCCCUCUUCCCCUGGAUGUGUCGCCCAGGAGCCUCUCUGGAGCACUCCUCCUUUCUUCAUGGUCUGCAGAGAGUUGGGGAUGGGCAGGGGACAGCCACCACAACAGAAGUCGCAUUUUACUUGGCUUAUCGAGAGCAGUGACCACGCCUAUGCUCUUGAUGUACCCUGCUGUAUCUCAUGUGAGUGAAAACCAGCAAGACCCGUCUGUGCUUCCCAUGCCUUCACCCUACCUGCCUCAGCCUGUCUCCUCAUCAGCCAGCAGUGAGAAGUCUCACCCGGCACCACCAUGAAGUCAUAGAAACACCCAUCAUGCACUGGUGUGUGUGUGUGUAUGUGUGUGUGUCUUAAAGUGUUUAUUUUCCUUCUUAUUUUUGGAUAGGAAAAGAGAUAAGUGGGCAGGGCAGUCACUGGACUGUCUACAGUCUAUUUUGACUGUUACCUUUCUGUCUAUGUGUACCAUGUGAUGUCUGCGUGUGCAGCGUAUGUACUGUUGGCAACAGGCAGAAAGCAUGUUGUCCUGAGUGCUGCCAUCCUAACUUCAGACUCCAUUUAACCUGUAGGGUGAAAGAAAAUUCAGGUUCUCGGGUCCUAGGGGCGCUGAGAACCUUCCAGUGGCUGACUCACCUCCUCCUUAAACCAUAGAAAUAAUCGUAUGCAUCUUUAGUUCUCUAGAAACACGGGUGUUCCUAACAACAGGAAGAACAAAUGAAUCUGAUUGGUUGGACUGAAACACUUGUGUGCCGGCUGACAGUGAUGGAACAUUUAAGGAAAUCCACUAAUCUUUGAUUUCCGAUUGGUAAAAACUAUAACUGUAACUUGGCAACAAGCGUUGGUCAUUUUUGUGCAGCUGGCACUCGGGGAAGAAGAUCAGCUCCCAAGACUGUUCUGCGGCCCUGAUCAGCCCCCUCCACUUCCCCGCUUCUCCUGUGCC